UGGGGAAUAUUGCACAAUGGGCGCAAGCCUGAUGCAGCCAUGCCGCGUGUGUGAAGAAGGCCUUCGGGUUGUAAAGCACUUUCAGCGAGGAGGAAGGUGGUGAGCUUAAUACGCUCAUCAAUUGACGUUACUCGCAGAAGAAGCACCGGCUAACUCCGUGCCAGCAGCCGCGGUAAUACGGAGGGUGCAAGCGUUAAUCGGAAUUACUGGGCGUAAAGCGCACGCAGGCGGUUUGUUAAGUCAGAUGUGAAAUCCCCGGGCUCAACCUGGGAACUGCAUUUGAAACUGGCAAGCUAGAGUCUCGUAGAGGGGGGUAGAAUUCCAGGUGUAGCGGUGAAAUGCGUAGAGAUCUGGAGGAAUACCGGUGGCGAAGGCGGCCCCCCUGGACGAAGACUGACGCUCAGGUGCGAAAGCGUGGGGAGCAAAACAGGAUUAGAUACCCUGGUAGUCCACGCUGUAAAACGAUGUCGAUUUGGAGGUUGUGCCCUUGAGGCGUGGCUUCCGGAGCUAACGCGUUAAAUCGACCGCCU
rnacentral:rRNA from 1 species